CUCCACAGUAUAUAUAACGAAAUUGAAGAUGCUGUCCGAUACAGAAGUUCUACAGGAUCGCCCCAGAUUCUAAAUUUUGCAUCGUCAGAACAUGGACUACGUACUUUUACCCAGUUCCUCCAGGUUUUGUGUAAUUGUGAGCAUGCAGUUUCUCUUUUCUCGUGGUUCUCACCAAAAUGAUUAAACUUUCAUGCUCUAUAGAUAAGGAGGAACUUUGAAAAAGUCUGCUUUUGUUUCUCAAGAAUCACGACCUGGCAGCAAGUAUAGCCGGAGACCAGCCACAAUGUGCAUCCAGCAAUCAUUGGGUCGUCUUCAGCCUACCAGGAAUCUUUUCUUCGCAUGAGAAAGACAGAU
rnacentral:misc_RNA from 1 species